ACAGAGGUGGCAAGCGUUAUUCGGAAUUAUUGGGUGUAAAGGGCAGGUAGGCGGCCUAUUAAGUGAGGGGUGAAAUCCCACGGUUCAAUCGUGGAACAGCCUUUCAAACUGACGGGCUUGAGUGUGACAGGGGUAGAUGGAAUUCUCGGUGGAAGGGUGUAAUCUGUAGAUAUCGGGAAGAACACCAACGGCGAAGGCAAUCUUCUGGUUCACUACUGACGCUGAGCUGCGUAAGCUAGGGGAGCAAAAAG
rnacentral:rRNA from 1 species